GACGAACGCUGGCGGCGUGCCUAAUACAUGCAAGUCGAACGCACUCUCGUUUAGAUUGACGGAGUUUGCUCCUGAUUGAUCAACAUUUGAGUGAGUGGCGGACGGGUGAGUAACACGUGGGUAACCUGCCCUAAAGUGGGGGAUAACAUUUGGAAACAGAUGCUAAUACCGCAUAAAACCUAACACCGCAUGGUGUAGGGUUGAAAGAUGGUUUCGGCUAUCACUUUAGGAUGGACCCGCGGUGCAUUAGUUAGUUGGUGAGGUAAAGGCUCACCAAGACCGCGAUGCAUAGCCGACCUGAGAGGGUAAUCGGCCACACUGGGACUGAGACACGGCCCAGACUCCUACGGGAGGCAGCAGUAGGGAAUCUUCCACAAUGGACGAAAGUCUGAUGGAGCAACGCCGCGUGAGUGAAGAAGGUUUUCGGAUCGUAAAACUCUGUUGUUGGAGAAGAAUGUAUCUGAUAGUAACUGAUCAGGUAGUGACGGUAUCCAACCAGAAAGCCACGGCUAACUACGUG
rnacentral:rRNA from 1 species